CAGUCGCCGCGGUAAUACAGAGGGUGCGAGCGUUAAUCGGAUUUACUGGGCGUAAAGCGUGCGUAGGCGGCUUCUUAAGUCGGAUGUGAAAUCCCUGAGCUUAACUUAGGAAUUGCAUUCGAUACUGGGAAGCUAGAGUAUGGGAGAGGAUGGUAGAAUUCCAGGUGUAGCGGUGAAAUGCGUAGAGAUCUGGAGGAAUACCGAUGGCGAAGGCAGCCAUCUGGCCUAAUACUGACGCUGAGGUACGAAAGCAUGGGGAGCAAACAGGAUUAGAUACCCCUGUAGUCCCUGUCUCUUAUAC
rnacentral:rRNA from 1 species